rnacentral:rRNA from 1 species
UGGGGAAUAUUGCACAAUGGGGGAAACCCUGAUGCAGCGACGCCGCGUGAGCGAAGAAGUAUUUCGGUAUGUAAAGCUCUAUCAGCAGGGAAGAUAAUGACGGUACCUGACUAAGAAGCCCCGGCUAACUACGUGCCAGCAGCCGCGGUAAUACGUAGGGGGCAAGCGUUAUCCGGAUUUACUGGGUAUAAAGGGAGCGUAGACGGCAAGGCAAGUCUGAUGUGAAAACCCAGGGCUUAACCCUGGGACUGCAUUGGAAACUGUCUGGCUUGAGUGCCGGAGAGGUAAGCGGAAUUCCUAGUGUAGCGGUGAAAUGCGUAGAUAUUAGGAAGAACACCAGUGGCGAAGGCGGCUGACUGGACGGUAACUGACGUUGAGGCUCGAAAGCGUGGGGAGCAAACAGG